GCUUAACACAUGCAAGUCGAGGGGCAGCAUGGUCUUAGCUUGCUAAGGCCGAUGGCGACCGGCGCACGGGUGAGUAACACGUAUCCAACCUGCCGUCUACUCUUGGACAGCCUUCUGAAAGGAAGAUUAAUACAAGAUGGCAUCAUGAGUCCGCAUGUUCACAUGAUUAAAGGUAUUCCGGUAGACGAUGGGGAUGCGUUCCAUUAGAUAGUAGGCGGGGUAACGGCCCACCUAGUCUUCGAUGGAUAGGGGUUCUGAGAGGAAGGUCCCCCACAUUGGAACUGAGACACGGUCCAAACUCCUACGGGAGGCAGCAGUGAGGAAUAUUGGUCAAUGGGCGAGAGCCUGAACCAGCCAAGUAGCGUGAAGGAUGACUGCCCUAUGGGUUGUAAACUUCUUUUAUAAAGGAAUAAAGUCGGGUAUGGAUACCCGUUUGCAUGUACUUUAUGAAUAAGGAUCGGCUAACUCCGUGCCAGCAGCCGCGGUAAUACGGAGGAUCCGAGCGUUAUCCGGAUUUAUUGGGUUUAAAGGGAGCGUAGAUGGAUGUUUAAGUCAGUUGUGAAAGUUUGCGGCUCAACCGUAAAAUUGCAGUUGAUACUUGAUAUCUUGAGUGCAGUUGAGGCAGGCGGAAUUCGUGGUGUAGCGGUGAAAUGCUUAGAUAUCACGAAGAACUCCGAUUGCGAAGGCAGCCUGCUAAGCUGCAACUGACAUUGAGGCUCGAAAGUGUGGGUAUCAAACAGGAUUAGAUACCCUGGUAGUCCACACGGUAAACGAUGAAUACUCGCUGUUUGCGAUAUACUGCAAGCGGCCAAGCGAAAGCGUUAAGUAUUCCACCUGGGGAGUACGCCGGCAACGGUGAAACUCAAAGGAAUUGACGGGGGCCCGCACAAGCGGAGGAACAUGUGGUUUAAUUCGAUGAUACGCGAGGAACCUUACCCGGGCUUAAAUUGCAGAUGAAUUACGGUGAAAGCCGUAAGCCGCAAGGCAUCUGUGAAGGUGCUGCAUGGUUGUCGUCAGCUCGUGCCGUGAGGUGUCGGCUUAAGUGCCAUAACGAGCGCAACCCUUGUUGUCAGUUACUAACAGGUUCCGCUGAGGACUCUGACAAGACUGCCAUCGUAAGAUGUGAGGAAGGUGGGGAUGACGUCAAAUCAGCACGGCCCUUACGUCCGGGGCUACACACGUGUUACAAUAGGGGGUACAGAGGGCCGCUACCACGCGAGUGGAUGCCAAUCCCCAAAACCUCUCUCAGUUCGGACUGGAGUCUGCAACCCGACUCCACGAAGCUGGAUUCGCUAGUAAUCGCGCAUCAGCCACGGCGCGGUGAAUACGUUCCCGGGCCUUGUACACACCGCCCGUCAAGCCAUGGGAGCCGGGGGUACCUGAAGUGCGUAACCGCGAGGAGCGCCCUAGGGUAAAACUGGUGACUGGGGCU
rnacentral:rRNA from 1 species